rnacentral:rRNA from 1 species
GAGGAUAUUGGUCAAUGGACGAAGCCUGAACCAGCCAAGUAGCGUGCAGGAUGACGGCCCUAUGGGUUGUAAACUGCUUUUAUAUGGGGAUAAAGUGGGGGACGUGUCCCUUUUGUAGUACUAUAUGAAUAAGGACCGGCUAAUUCCGUG